rnacentral:lncRNA from 1 species
GACAAUGGAGCCGAGUGCCAAGAGCUGCGGGGACAGAAGGAUGUGGGGCCGCUAUGGGGCCUGGAGAAGGUGGGGUUAUGGGGUGGAUAUAGGGCGGCUAUGGGGUGAUAUGGGGUGGUUAUGGGGGAUAUGGGGUGAUAUGGGGUGGAUAUGGGGUGAUAUGGGGCUGUUAUGGUGAGUUAUGGGGUGUUUAUGGGGUGAUAUUGGGUGGUUAUGGGGUGGAUAUGGGGGAUAUGGGUUGGUUAUGGGGUUAUGGAAUGGUUAUGGGGUUAUGGGGCUGUUAUGGGGUGGUUAUGGGGCAGUUAUGGGGUUAUGGGGCAGUUAUGGGGUGGUUAUGGGGCAUGGGCUGUUAUGGGGUGUCUAUGGGGUUAUGGGACGGUUCUGGGGUUAUAAGGCUGUUAUGGGGUGGCUAUGGGGUGGCUAUGGGGUGGUUAUGGGGUGGUUAUGGGGCAGUUAUGGGGUGGUUAUGGGGUGGUUAUGGGGCAGGCUGUGGGUCUGAGCCCCACAUUCCCCCCCUCUCUAGGGCUGCAUCCCCCCCCACCCCCCCCUGUUGUUCCGCUGCCCCAUGGGAUCCCACUUGGGGGGCAGAGUGACGCUGAGCGCCAACAUCACACCCCCAACACAAGGACAGCCCCCGUUCCGAUCCCAUUUAUGCUCCCGUUUGUGGUUCCGGUUCGGUUCGGGGCUGUUCCAGCAUCACCCACAAGGGGGCGACAACGGGAUGCAGGGCACGACGGAGGUGGAGCUGCUGCCCCCCCCCCCCCCCAUUGCUCUUAAUGUACGUGGGGGGGCUGCGGCGGGGGGGGUGAUGCUGCUGCUCCUAUUGGGCGUCCUCCUGUCCAAGUGCGGCUUCUUCCGGCGAGGAUACCGGAAACGGAUGGAGGGGGCGGAGGGGAAAGACCCGGAUGUGGCUGAAUGGGAGGAGGGGGCGGGGGAAGACCCGGAUGUUGCGGAGGAGAAAGACCCGGAUGUUACGGAGGCGAAAGACCCGGAUGUUGCGGAGGUGAAAGAACAGGAUGUUAAUGGAGGGGAAAGACCCGGAUGUUAAUGGAUGGGAAAGACCCGGAUGUUAAUGGAGGGGAUGGGAGGGGGGAAAAGGGGAAAGACCUGGAUGUUAAUUGAGGAGAAAGACCCGGAUGUUAAUGGAAGGGAAAAACCCGAAUGUUAAUGGAGGGGAUGGGAGGGGGGAGGG